rnacentral:lncRNA from 1 species
AUGCCGAAGCGCGCGGGCCUGGUGAUCGUCAACUUUGCGCACAAAUGUGGGGCUGGGAGGACGCAGGUCCUGGAGGCGGGGACAGGGGAGCGAGCGGCGCGUCUAGAGAGGGCUAGGCUCCCCGAAACAGGACUCGGGGCAGUCGGGGCGCGGGAGGCUGGGGGCGGGAGGCGGCUCGCCAGUGCUCCAAUGAGCCCUGGAAAAUCCCCGGCGCGCAGGGAGGCGGGCCGCCCUGCGGGCAGGCCGGGGACGGCGGGAACAAAGGCGGCCCGAGGCCGGAUGCAGUCAUGGAAAAACCCAUCGGGGCGCCUGGGUGGGGGCGGCGCGCUCCCCGGCAGACUCACCGCCCUAGGAGGCCGGCCCAGGCUGGGCUGCUCUCGGCCCCCACCCGGGAGCGCGCCUCGUGGAGCAGAAAAAAAUUCUUGGCGGGGAGGGGGCGCUGGUCCCCGGGACUGGGAACCAGAAGCUCCCACGUUCCGGAUGCCGCGCACCGCGUGCUGUCAGCCGCGAGGGGCGGGCGGCCCAGGCUGGUACACGCGGGGCACACGCGGCGCUGCACACGGCCACCUGGCUGGCGAGGGAGGCCAGCACCUCGGGGGCGCGCACAGGCCCAGGCGCGGACGCGGACGCGUGUUCCAAGUUGCCUCCGGCUGCCACGGGCUCCUGCACACACAUGAUCACUUGCACGCACGUGCGCCCACACACGCGAGCUUCCCUCACGGCAGAGGGAAGGAAACGGUUGGACAAGGGGGCCGAAAUAGAUGUUCGUUAGGGCGGGUCCCCGGGGCUAGAUACAGGACCUCAAGCUGGGGGCGGGGGACCUUUGAAGAAGCUACGGUUAGGCCCGCCCCCCAUUUUACAGGUGCAGGGACUGGGCCUCCCCGGGCGGACAUGCCCAGGACCCGCCCCAGGGCUAGAAUUUCCCUCCGGUGCAGGACGCUGCCGGCCCGAUCCUGGUGCUGUAAACCUGGCUGGAGCGGGGGAGGCGGCACGACGGGUUUUUUCUGUAGAAAAUUAAAGUGUUGGCUCAGGCUGGACCCAGUGACUCGAAGUCUUUUCCAGUUCUGA